UACGAAGGGGGCUAGCGUUGUUCGGAUUUACUGGGCGUAAAGCGCACGUAGGCGUAUCGUUAAGUCGGGGGUGAAAUCCUGGAGCUCAACUCCAGAACUGCCUUCGAUACUGGCGAUCUUGAGUCCGGAAGAGGUGAGUGGAACUCCUAGUGUAGAGGUGGAAUUCGUAGAUAUUAGGAAGAACACCAGUGGCGAAGGCGGCUCACUGGUCCGGUACUGACGCUGAGGUGCGAAAGCGUGGGGAGCAAACAGG
rnacentral:rRNA from 1 species